UAUCCAGAACAUCUUCAGCUGAAUUCAUUUCUUCUUUGACCGGAGUUCCAUCAAGAAAAUACAGAGUGUCAAUGUAGUUAGCAGCCAAAACUUCUUUAUCUUCUUUGAACACGUUAAGCCUGUAAUUCUUAGACUGGAACCAACAUCCAUGCGACUCUAACUGACCCAGAGAAAUAAGAUUUCUUCUAGCAGAAGCAGAAAACCUCACAUCUGUUAGAACCACCACGACCUUGUUGUGAUUUAAAAGUUUAACUUUCCCAACAACAUUGAAUUCACAGAAUGUGUCAUUACCCAUCAGUAUCUUUCUACCAUCAAG
rnacentral:lncRNA from 1 species